CCAUAAUAUAGGGAAAAGCCAAACAUUGUCAGAGGGCAGAUAAAACAUUAUGAUUGGAAUUUGUAUAAUUCAUGAUUAGCUUCUCUGCAUGAUUAGGGCUCAAAACACCCUAAUUGCUCCGAAGUGAU
rnacentral:snoRNA from 1 species